UGGUAAGUCGAGCUCGACCGAUUU
rnacentral:miRNA from 1 species